GGCAGGAGAGCAGGUAACGAAAUCCAACUGCAGCUGGGAUGCUCAGAGGAAGACAGCUGCUUUUGGGAUUCCGUUGCCCGCUGUCACGCCAUU
rnacentral:pre_miRNA from 1 species